AUACUUUGAGAUUUGUAUAUUUUGAGACCAAAGAUGAUGCCAACUUUGAUGAGACUUGAUGGGCCUAUGCACCCUGCUUGUCAUGCAUGCGCAUGGGAAAAGCCUUGUGUUCAGCUAUGCACAUGCGCAGAGCACGCGAACGCGUGCAUACACGGCACUUCUCCACACGUGCCAUGCAGACUGCAGAGGCCCAGAUUUGACGAGACGCAAUCAGCUCCCAUAAUUGUGCCUUCCUCAAUCAUUGAAAUCGUGGUCAUCUCCUGAGGGACAGCAAGUUAAGAAGUGAGAUUUUGCGAUAGCCGAACAAAGAAAACCAGACGAAUACGUAUAACUGCGCUCUAGAGUGUGCCGGCGAAUCAGCCAUUAACUCUCGAUUCGCCAAAGCAGUGUUACAGUGCACAGUGAAUAAAUCGAUUUAACUACGAGGAAUAAAAAUUGAGUAUUACUUCAAAUAAAUUUCCAAACUGGAUAUAAGCGAAAGGACAAAAAAAAAAGUCACUGUCUUAUGAUGGUUCCGUGAUGAAGCUAGCUAAUGCUUGGAGGCUUUAAAAGACGAUUUCUAAAGUCGACUGUCGUUGUAUAACGAUUUAGAAUUGUAUUAAAGCGAUCAGUAUUAUUACCAAACGCCAAAAAAUUGCAAUAAAAUAUGGCCCAAUGAUGUGGUCCCCGAGAAUACCCGCCCAAACAUUCACUGACCACUUGACUUGGCUGUGCGCUUGCGGCAUCCAGUGAGGAUUCUCGGUGGCCCAGUAAUGCAUAUUGUGGCGGUUGACGUUGCCAUUAUUAUGAAAAAUACAUUCAUCCGAAAAUAAAAUGUAUUUGGAAAAAUAAUAAUUUUCUUCUAUUUUAUUAAGAAACCACCGACAAUAUCUCAAUCUGCGCGUCUCAUCAAUAAUAUGCAGUUCUUGAGUCCAGAUUGCUUUAUACUAUAAAGUUUAUAGGGAUGAAAGUGAUCCGAUUUUAGAGCCUUACAUACCAUUGUCUGGCUAACUCCAUGUACCUGCGCUAUAGUUCGUGUACCAAUAGUUGGUUCGUUAAGAGCCAUUUCUUGUAUAGGCGCGGUAUCAAUGGGCCGUAGUCGUCCUGUACAAAAAAAUUAAAAAAAAAA